GACGAACGCUGGCGGCGUGCUUAACACAUGCAAGUCGAACGGAAAGGCCCUGCUUUUGUGGGGUGCUCGAGUGGCGAACGGGUGAGUAACACGUGAGUAACCUGCCCUUGACUUUGGGAUAACUUCAGGAAACUGGGGCUAAUACCGGAUAGGAGCUCCUGCUGCAUGGUGGGGGUUGGAAAGUUUCGGCGGUUGGGGAUGGACUCGCGGCUUAUCAGCUUGUUGGUGGGGUAGUGGCUUACCAAGGCUUUGACGGGUAGCCGGCCUGAGAGGGUGACCGGACGAUUUGCGGGUAGAACACGCGCCGGACGACUGAGGGAGGCAGGAGUGAGGAAUAUUGCAGCAGGGGGGGAGCCUGGCGGCAGUAGGGACGCGGGCGGGCUGAUGUCCUUCGGGAUGACAACGGCUGUCGGCGUGGAAGUAGGGGGAGGGGUGUUAAGGGGUAAAUAAGCACCGGCAAACUACGCGCCAUACGCCGAGUGACAAAUCGAAGAACCCAGUUCUAAAC
rnacentral:rRNA from 1 species